rnacentral:rRNA from 1 species
UACGGGGGGGGCAAGCGUUGUUCGGAAUUACUGGGCGUAAAGGGCCAGUAGGCGGCCAACUAAGUCGGAUGUGAAAUCCCCAGGCUUAACCUGGGAACUGCAUCCGAUACUGGAUGGCUUGAAUUCGGGAGAGGGAUGCAGAAUUCCAGGUGUAGCGGUGAAAUGCGUAGAUAUCUGGAGGAAUACCGGUGGCGAAGGCGGCAUCCUGGACCAUAACUGACGCUGAGGCGCGAAAGCUAGGGGAGCAAACGGGG